GUACUGGUAGACUUCUUGCCUUCCAUGCAGGAGACCUGGGUUCAAUUCCUGGCCAGUACC
rnacentral:tRNA from 1 species